rnacentral:rRNA from 1 species
AUGCAGUACACCAAACACACAUUUCAACUCAUUUUUGCAUGAGCUCAACCAGGCCAACCCAGCCAAGCUCCUUCAUGCAAUGCAUGACAGAUGCACCCAGGCAACCAAACACGCCCUAACUGAAGAGUGGAAAGCAAACAACCAUCACCAAACCCCAGCCCCGACGGCCCACCUCGCCGUCUCCGGCGAUCGCCGUCGCCGCGCUGGCCUUGAUUCCAACCCCAACCCUGCCCCUAUUACCGCCCGUGGCGCUCGUACUCUGAUGCUUCCCACCCCAUGGCCCACCACAUUCCCCUUCCCCUUCCCCUCCCCCUUCGUCGCCGCCUCCACCACCUCUUCAUCCUUGCCCUCCUCGCCGUCGCAUCAGGUAACCCUAGCCCCGGGGUGUACGAUCGGGGGGCCGAGGAAGCGGAGGCGUACUCGAUCCUCACAUUUCACGACUACACGCCGCCGCCUCCCCCAGCGCUGCCGCCCCCGCCGGCCGCCCCGGCGGCGACCUGCGCCGGCGACCUCGGUGGCGUGGGCGACCUCGACACGCGCUGCGUAGUUCCCGUGUCCGUGCGGCUCGAGGGCGGCGGCGUCUUCAUCAGCGGGAAUGGCAGCCUCCAGCUCCUCGACGGUGUCUCUGUCACCUGCCAGAGGCCAGGGUGCGUUGUCUCCGCCAAUUUGUCUGGUGAUAUCCGCUUCGGCCAUGGCGCCCGUGUCGUAGCCGGAUGGGUCUCUCUCGCGGCCACCAACAUCACUCUCGGCGACGACGCCGUUAUCGACACCACUGCGCUUGCCGGCAACCCGCCGGAUAAGACCAGCGGCGUACCAACCGGGAUAUAUGGAGAUGGUGGUGGGCAUGGUGGCCGCGGCGCAAGCUGCUACGUCAAUAAGGGGCAAACGCAGGAGGACUCGUGGGGUGGUGAUACCUAUGCGUGGUCUGAGCUCAAGACCCCGAAUAGCUAUGGGAGCAAAGGGGGAUCUACUAGCGUCGAGAAGGACUAUGGUGGCGGGGGUGGCGGAGUAGUGUGGUUGUUUGCAGAUGAAAUUGUCAUGAAUGGAACAGUUAUUGCUAAUGGCGGUAAUGGUGGCACCAAGGGUGGGGGUGGCUCUGGGGGAAGCAUCUAUCUUAAGGCUGCAACCAUGCAAGGCGGUGGCAAAAUAAGUGCAUGUGGAGGCAAUGGUUUGUCUGGGGGAGGUGGAGGACGUGUUUCUAUUGAUGUUUUCAGUAGGCAUGAUGACACCCAUUUUUUUGUUCAUGGGGGGAGGAGUUCAGGAUGUCCAGACAAUGCAGGAGCAGCUGGGACACUUUAUGAAGAAGUACCUAAGAGUAUUACUGUUAGCAACAAUAACUUGAGCACACAAACUGAUACAGUUUUUUUAGACCCCCCAUAUGAGCCACUCUGGACAAAUGUUUUUAUCAAGAAUCAUGCAAAAGUUUCUCUGCCCCUGCGCUGGAGUCGUCUUCAGGCACAAGGACAAAUUAGUCUUCUAUCUCGGGCUACUCUAACUUUUGGCCUGACACAUUACCCAUAUUCAGAGUUUGAACUAUUGGCUGAGGAACUUCUUAUGAGUGAUUCUACAAUACAGGUCUUUGGUGCUCUAAGAAUGUCCGUAAAGAUGCUCCUUAUGUGGAACUCUAGGAUGGUUAUUGAUGGUGGCAGAGAUUCAGGAGUUGCAACUUCUUUACUGGAAGGAAGCAAUUUGAUAGUUUUGAGGGAAUCAUCAGUGAUACAUUCUAAUGCUAAUCUUGGAAUUCAUGGUCAAGGCGUUCUGAAUUUAUCCGGAAAUGGAGACACAAUUGAGGCACAACGUCUUAUUUUAUCACUAUUCUACAACAUACUGGUUGGACGUGGAGCUGUUCUACGGGGCCCACUUAUAAACGCGAGCGGUGAUGAUGUGGCCCCAAAAUUGAAUUGCGAAAAUGAGAGUUGUCCUAUGGAAAUUUUUCAUCCGCCUGAGGAUUGCAAUCUGAAUUCUUCCUUGUCUUUUACUCUACAGAUAUGCCGUGUUGAAGAUAUUGAUGUGUCUGGCCUUGUGCAAGGAACUGUCAUAAAUUUUAAUAGAGCAAGAAAUGUCACCAUACAGCGACAUGGGAGCAUUAGUGCAACAGGAUUAGCAUAUUUUCCAUGGUGGCUAGUUAUAGCUGGGAGGCAGACCUCGCUGCAGCGGCGUGAGAUUUUCUGCUGCCAAGGUGGAAUUGGACAAGGAGGAAUGUUAAGCAGUGGCCUUAGUGGUGGGGGUGGGCAUGGUGGUAAAGGCGGGGAUGGUUUUUACAGCGGCAAGCAUUCAGGUGGCGGAGCUGCAUAUGAUAGUGCUGAUUUGCCUUGUGAACUUGGCAGUGGCAGUGGUAAUGUCAGUACAACAUCUUCAACAGCUGGUGGUGGUAUAAUAGUGAUGGGUUCUUUGGAGCAAUCUCUGCCUAUUCUCUCUCUCUCUGGUUCAGUGGAAGCCAACGGUGGCAGUUUCACUGGUGGGGCGACUCAUGCUGCAAAUGGAGGACCUGGUGGUGGUUCUGGGGGCACAAUUCUUCUAUUUGUGCGGACUUUAUCCUUAGAGAACAACUCUGUACUUUCUAGUGUUGGUGGGGUUGGAAGCAAUGGUAGUGGUGGAGGUGGAGGCGGUCGCAUUCACUUCCACUGGUCCGACAUUCCCACUGGAGAUGACUAUGUUCCUUUUGCAAUUGUCAAAGGAUCAAUACUUGCGAGAGGAGGAAUUGUCGAAGGCCGAGGUUUUCCUGGUGAGAAUGGCACAGUUACAGCAAAAGAUUGCCCGAAAGGUCUUUAUGGUACAUUUUGCAAGGAGUGUCCUGUAGGAACAUACAAGAACAUUACCGGGUCUUCUAAGUCCUUGUGUUCUCCAUGCCCUGCAUAUGAGCUCCCUCAUCGGGCUAUAUACAUGCAUAUCCGAGGAGGUGUCGCUGAAACCCCAUGCCCGUACAAAUGUGUGUCAGAUAGAUAUCGUAUGCCUCACUGUUUUACUGCUCUUGAAGAGCUAAUAUACACUUUUGGUGGACCUUGGUUCUUUGGCUUGCUUCUUUCAGGCCUUCUUGUUUUAUUGGCUCUUGUUUUGAGUAUUGCUCGGAUGAAGUUUGUUGGUACUGAUGAGUUUCCUGGACCAGCACCAACUCAACAUGGCUCCCAAAUUGAUCACUCUUUUCCCUUCCUAGAAUCACUGAAUGAGGUAUUGGAAACAAAUAGGGCCGAAGAAUCUCACUGCCAUGUGCACAGGAUGUUUUUCAUGGGCCCAAAUACCUUCAGUGAACCUUGGCAUCUCCCGCACACGCCACCUGAACAGAUUACAGAUAUUGUAUACGAGGAUGCGUUUAACAAGUUUGUCGAUGAUAUCAAUGCUCUGGCAGCUUAUCAGUGGUGGGAGGGAUCGAUUUGUAGUAUUCUGUGUAUACUUUCCUACCCCUUGGCGUGGUCCUGGCAACAGUGGCGCCGAAGAAAAAAGUUACAACGACUACGUGAGUUUGUUCGAUCUGAAUAUGAUCAUUCGUGCUUACGGUCAUGCCGUUCACGUGCCCUUUACGAAGGACUGAAGGUAGCUGCCACUCCAGAUUUAAUGCUGGGUUAUUUGGAUUUUUACCUUGGUGGGGAUGAGAAAAGGCCUGAUCUGCCCACUCGUCUUCAUCAAAGAUUUCCAAUGUCCUUGAUUUUUGGCGGUGAUGGAAGUUACAUGGCUCCAUUUUCACUUCACAGUGAUAGUGUAGUCACAAGUCUUAUAAGCCAGGUUGUACCAUCAUCAAUAUGGCACCGUCUUGUUGCUGGACUGAAUGCCCAGCUGCGUUUGGUUCGUCAUGGAAAUUUGAAAGUAACCUUUCUUCCUAUGCUCAAAUGGCUUGAAACUCAUGCAAAUCCUGCCUUAGACACAUACCAUGUACGUGUUGACCUUGCAUGGUUCCAAGCUACAGCAUUAGGAUACUGUCAAUACGGUCUUGUUAUUCAUGCUGUGGAGGGAGAAGCCGUGGCUGCUGAACUUCAAGGUGGCUCUAGAAUAAUAUUUGAUCAACAUUCAUUAAAUCAGAAUGAAGAUGCUGACUCUCAACUAGGCCACUCAAGGAGCAAUGAUGCUUAUAUGUGUAAAAGAAUAACCGGUGGAAUUCUCAAUGUUGACAACUUGAUGACGCUCAAAGACAGGAGUGAUUUGUUUCAUCCCCUGUCUCUUAUCUUGCACAAUACUAAACCGGUUGGACAUCAGGAUCUUGUUGGUUUGGUCAUCUCAAUAUUGCUUCUUGCAGAUUUUAGCUUAGUGUUGCUUACGUCUCUCCAGCUAUAUUCUUACUCUAUGGUCGACAUUUUGUUAGUCUUGUUUGUUCUUCCUCUUGGAAUACUGGCACCAUUUCCAGCUGGUAUAAAUGCUCUCUUUAGUCAUGGCCCACGUCGCUCAGCAGGCCUUGCUCGUGUGUAUGCGUUGUGGAACAUUACAUCUCUGGUUAAUGUUGUCGUGGCCUUUGUAUGUGGACUUGUGCAUUAUAAGUCAUCAACAAAAAGACAUCCAAGCAUGCAGCCAUGGAAUUUGGGCGGGGAUGAAACUAGCUGGUGGUUAUUCCCAACUGGACUCGUGUUGUGUAAAUUGAUCCAAGCAAGGCUUGUUGAUUGGCACGUCUCCAUCUUAGAGAUCCAGGAUCGUGCAGUAUACAGCAACGACCCAACUAUAUUCUGGCAGUGAUGGCCUUCGGCUCAGCGAAGUGGUCAUGGGAGCUUUUUGCAACUCGAGUUUUUGGGAGUUGAUAAAACGAAGGCUAAAAAGCUAGCCCAUUCUUUGUCGACCAGAUAGAGGAAGCAAGCACAAAGUAGAAUUCCUACAUAUGCAUGCUUAUACAGUUCGCUGUUAAUCUUGCGUAGCCAUAACAUUUUCCUUGUAGAUAAGAAGGUUUAACUCAUCCAUUCAUUAUAGGAUUUAGACACCAUAGGCUUACAACUUUACCAGAGCUAAUCACCGACAUAUACAGAUAGCGGGGUGGGUGAGGGCGAAUGAUCAAAUAUGAAAUUACCCUGUUCGUGGUCCAAUUCGAUGAACACAACAAAUUACCAUUUUUGGCAUUUUUGUUUGAUCUAGUGGGCUGAUGCAUCAUGUCCGCCGUUAGUUGCUGGGGUGAUCUAAAACCCUCAUCAGAGGCUCAAUGUUGGCUUGAUAAGCUAGAAGUUUCCAUCUGAAGCAUUGUGUUAUGUAACGAGUGCAUUCCUAUUUUUAGUACUUUCUUCGAUCUGUCUUAGAUUUGUCUAGAUACUGAUGUAUCUAACACUAAAACAUGUCUAGAUACAUCGGAGGGAGUACAAAGAUCUAUUAUCAAUUGCAUCUGAUCUUCAUGUUUUCCCCCCUUUGCGGGAGUAUAUGAUCAAGACUUUGAAACUA